CCUACGGGUGGCAGCAGUGAGGAAUAUUGGUCAAUGGCCGCAGGGCUGAACCAGCCAAGUCGCGUGAGGGAUGACGGUCCUAUGGAUUGUAAACCUCUUUUGUCAGGGAGCAAAGUGCGCCACGUGUGGCGCUUUGCGAGUACCUGAAGAAAAAGCAUCGGCUAACUCCGUGCCAGCAGCCGCGGUAAUACGGAGGAUGCGAGCGUUAUCCGGAUUUAUUGGGUUUAAAGGGUGCGCAGGCGGACUGUAAAGCCAGCGGUAAAAUCUCGGGGCUCAACCCGGUAGUGCCGUUGAAACUGGCGUUCUUGAGUGAGCGAGAGGUAUGCGGAAUGCGUGGUGUAGCGGUGAAAUGCAUAGAUAUCACGAAGAACUCCGAUUGCGAAGGCAGCAUACCGGCGCUCAACUGACGCUCAUGCACGAAAGCGUGGGUAUCGAACAGGAUUAGAUACCCUGGUAGUG
rnacentral:rRNA from 1 species